CAAGGCUAGAUGAACUCAAAGCAAAGCUACACUGCACAGAUGAAUUUGUGUCACAGUGGCUCUCUGAUGUGAAGGAAUGGGCAGCUGAUGAGACACCAGAUACAUCUCAUGCCAGUCAAGGCACCACACACAGAGGACUUCAGCAGUCAAUUGAGGGUCUUUACCUUAGUGUGAGGCAGCGGAAGCAAACCCUCUACCGUCAGAAUGACAGCAGCAAGUUUCGCCACCGCCUUUGAGGGAAGCUGGCAGAAGACAAAA